rnacentral:lncRNA from 1 species
GCCUUUUUUAUAUUUUUUUCUUUUUGGCGGAAAGUUACCAAAAUAUGUUAAGGACUUAAUUCAGAGAUAAUGUUGCUAAACGAUUUACAGUCGAUAAUCUUUCGAAAGCAGAAAAACUCAGUGUCAAACAAAGAAUACGCGAAUUAUUUGAGAUAUGAUUGAAAUUUGCAAA